AUUGAACGCUGGCGGCAUGCCUUACACAUGCAAGUCGAACGGCAGCACGGGGGCAACCCUGGUGGCGAGUGGCGAACGGGUGAGUAACAUAUCGGAACAUACCCUAGAGUGGGGAUAACGUAGCGAAAGUUACGCUAAUACCGCAUACGAUCUAAGGAUGAAAGUGGGGGAUCUUCGGACCUCAUGCUCAUGGAGUGGCCGAUAUCUGAUUAGCUAGUUGGUGAGGUAAAAGGCUCACCAAGGCGACGAUCAGUAGCUGGUUUGAGAGAACGACCAGCCACACUGGAACUGAGACACGGUCCAGACUCCUACGGGAGGCAGCAGUGGGGAAUUUUUGGACAAUGGGGGCAACCCUGAUCCAGCAAUGCCGCGUGAGUGAAGAA
rnacentral:rRNA from 1 species